CAGAGGGGGCAAGCGUUAUUCGGAAUUAUUGGGCGUAAAGGGCGCGUAGGCGGCUUUUCAAGUGACGGGUGAAAUCCCUCGGCUUAACCGAGGAACUGCCUGUCAGACUGGAAGGCUUGAGACCGGGAGAGGUGAGUGGAAUUCCCAGUGUAGCGGUGAAAUGCGUAGAUAUUGGGAGGAACACCAGUGGCGAAGGCGGCUCACUGGACCGGAACUGACGCUGAGGCGCGAAAGCAUGGGGAGCAAACAGGAUUAGAUACCCUGGUAGUCCACGCCGUAAACGAUGAGUGCUUGGUGUAGCGGGUAUCGACCCCUGCUGUGCCGAAGUCAACACAUUAAGCACUCCGCCUGGGGAGUACGGUCGCAAGACUG
rnacentral:rRNA from 1 species